rnacentral:tRNA from 1 species
UAGCCUAGUGGCAAGGCUUUGGAUCGCCAAUCCGGAGACUACGAGUUCGAUCCCCGU